AGCAGGGCUCAUGACAACAGGCCGCCCUCAGAUGUCCUGCUCAGGUUGUUGGGAAAGGGACACAUUUCAUCUUUGUCCUCCAAAGUCAACCGUAUAUAUCCAGGACCGUGGAGAAGAAAAAGCCACAGGUCUCGGCAUUGCCUGGCACUCAGGAGUGGAGCAGCUGCACAUCGUAGGACACGGGGGGCAUGUCGAGCAGCAGGUCCAGCCGGGUGGGCUUGCAGUAAUCCAGCCCCUGGAGUUCCUGCUUCAGAGAGUGCAAAGCACAGCACAGGCAGACGAAGACACCACACCCAGCCUUUCCCCUUUCUUCUCCAGCAUUGUCACCCCUCAUAGUCAUGACAUCAAGUGGCCCAAGGGAGGGAGCGCUGAUGCAGAUCUCAGUUCAGCGUAGGAAAUGCAUACACACUCAUCCAGGCUCCACAGCUCAGAGGCCUCUGCAACUCCUUGUCAGCUCUUUACCCUGCCUGGACCUGAGCCAUCAACGAGGCUUUCCACAAGAUCCCCUGGGCUGGAUCCUGGAUUUGUAUGGCUAGGAGACGAAAUGGGAGCAGAGGGGAGGCCUCACCGCAUCUGUCCACUGGACCUCCAGAGGAGAGCUGACAAUACUUUCCCCACCUGUUGCUGCCCAGGCUCGGAUCAGGGUAAACAGUAAAGAGUUUGCACUCCUGGGGCUCUCUCGUGAGCUGUGUUCUCUGCCACCCAAACCUGGAGGGCUGGAAAGAUGGCUCAGUGGAUAAAGGGCCUGCUUCACACGUAUGAUGCUUU
ensembl:antisense Gm13070 predicted gene 13070